UACAAACCAUAUACAGCAUUUUCUUUCUUUUUCUUCCCAUGUGCUAUAAAUAUGUAUGGAAUUAUAAAAUUUAAUAAUUCAGAUUACCAUAUAAAUAAAAGCGUAACAGAUGCCAAUGCAUAUAUGAAAAGGACUGCCCAAGAAAAAUAAUACAAUGAAAUAAAAUAGAAAUUGAACAAUAUCUUUUAAAUGGAAAUGAGGAAGGAAGAAAGAAAGAAAAAAAGAAAAAAAGAAAAAAAGAAAAAAAGAAAAAAAGAAAAAAAGAAAAAAAGAAAAAAAGAAAAUCGUAUAAUAUUUCCUAAAGAAAUAAAAUAUUAUAUUAUAUAUAUAUAUAUAUAUAUAUAUAUAUAUAUAGUUGAAUGGUUUAAUAAUAUAGAACAAAUUGAAUAUUUUUUUUUAAGAAUGUGUAAAAAAGUAUAAAUGAUAAACGUAUAUACGUUUUAAUUUAAAAAACCAAAAAAAACCAAAAAAUAAUAAUGAAU